GCACGCUGUCUUUCACGUCCGGCAUCUUGCUGGUGAUAUCUGGAUUGGGGAGAACGGACCCGCGGGGGCUGUCAGGCAGGUGACAGGGAACAACGGGAGCCAAGUCACAGCGUUGACCUGAAGUUUGGCACCAGUCCCCUCUCUCA